AUGGACCUGACCUGGCGCACUGACGCCGGUCGCACCAUGAUCCGUCACGACCCCGGCGACAAACACCGAGCUCCUUCUCCGCUGGCGACACACGCCUGGCGUCCCUCUGCGCCCCGCACGUCCCGCCCACACCCGACGCGCCCGACGAGCCCGAUCGUAUCAGUGCAUCCCGCACGUCCCGCGCGCACCCGACGUGCCCGACGAGCCCGACCGCACCAGACGCUCACCGCACGCCGCCUCCGCGUCCGCCAUGGCAGCCGCCAGCGACAAACGCCGAAGGAUGCAGCCAAACUCGAGCACGGACUCGAGCCCAACGGCGACAUACACCUCCUCCCAACGUCAACCGCACGCUCGUACGCGCGCCCACGGUCCCGACGCGUCCAGUGCGCACCCAUAACACGCACCGGUCACGCCCGGCUCGCCGCCACGGCUUAUUGCCCUGCACCGCUGCGGCCUCAACCGCAACGCAGCACCUCCAUGCCGCCAUGCCGCUGUGUGUCGUUGAAGCCGCCACCACGCAGGUCCUCCGCGGCCUCCUCACCGUGCCGCCGCAGCCACCGCGGCCUCCUCGCCGCGCCGCGCACCUCCAUAGACCGACACACGGCCCGGAGCAUCGCGCAGCCGCCGACGAACUCCGCCACCGUUGGCCCGCCUCCGGCAAGGAGAACAACGCCAAAGAUGAACCAGCUCUGA
rnacentral:rRNA from 1 species